UACGUAGGGUGCGAGCGUUAAUCGGAAUUACUGGGCGUAAAGCGUGCGCAGGCGGUUUGUUAAGUCUGAUGUGAAAUCCCCGGGCUCAACCUGGGAAUGGCGAUGGAGACUGCAAGGCUAGAGUUUGGCAGAGGGGGGUAGAAUUCCACGUGUAGCAGUGAAAUGCGUAGAGAUGUGGAGGAACACCGAUGGCGAAGGCAGCCCCCUGGGUCAAAACUGACGCUCAUGCACGAAAGCGUGGGGAGCAAACAGG
rnacentral:rRNA from 1 species